rnacentral:rRNA from 1 species
AUUGAACGCUGGCGGCAGGCUUAACACAUGCAAGUCGAGCGGAGUGAUGGUGCUUGCACUAUCACUUAGCGGCGGACGGGUGAGUAAUGCUUAGGAAUCUGCCAUUUAGUGGGGGACAACAUUCCGAAAGGAAUGCUAAUACCGCAUACGUCCUACGGGAGAAAGCAGGGGAUCUUCGGACCUUGCGCUAAAUGAUGAGCCUAAGUCGGAUUAGCUAGUUGGUGGGGUAAAGGCCUACCAAGGCGACGAUCUGUAGCGGGUCUGAGAGGAUGAUCCGCCACACUGGGACUGAGACACGGCCCAGACUCCCACGGGAGGCAGCAGUGGGGAAUAUUGGACAAUGGGCGGAAGCCUGAUCCAGCCAUGCCGCGUGUGUGAAGAAGGCCUUUUGGUUGUAAAGCACUUUAAGCGAGGAGGAGGCUACUAGUACUAAUACUACUGGAUAGUGGACGUUACUCGCAGAAUAAGCACCGGCUAACUCUGUGCCAGCAGCCGCGGUAACAC